CGGCCGCGAUCCGAACCGAGAUCCAGCGGUUCGAGUCCGUCCACCCCAACAUCUACUCUAUCUACGAGCUGCUGGAGCGGGUGGAGGAGCCUCUGCUGCAGAACCAGAUCCGAGAACAUGUCAUCGCCAUCGAAGGUAAAGACACACGCACGCACGCACCACACACGCACGCCUGCGCAAACACACGUGAUCAAUCUAUCUCUCAGUCCGAUCUCGCAAUCCAAAAUGUGUAUGCUUAUUCGAUUUCUGUACCAAUGUGUGGACACACAUUUUGGAUUGUUUUUGGUUGAAAGACAUGCAUGUCGCUGCAGCCUCUCUAGACUGGACUGUUUCCACUCAGCCCGCAUUUGUAAGACAGGAGUGGGUCCUCACAGCCCCCACGUUGGCUCUGGAAAAGACACACACAUCCACAUCACGAGUACAGCAUGAGGCACCAGCACCGAUGACACAAUGCGUCCCAAAAUGUGGCAAACAUAAAAUACAUCCUGUCUUUUUGCUUCUGGUUGUUACUGUUUUGAGGCUAUGCGUGUUGUGCGGCUGAACAUGCGGUACUUCUAUAAUGGAUCCACGUCGACUGUGACUGUGUUGUGGCCCAUUGCCUAGUCUACCACUAGAUGGGGCUACUGUUGAUUCCAAGAUUGAUAGGCCUCCAUUCAAAGUUUGUGUGUUUUAUGUGUGUGUGUAUGCGAGUGCUUAGGCAUGUGUGGCUGAAUCCUAGUGCUGCGUCUAACUGGUUUUGUGUGAAUGUAGGUUAUUGCUUGUUACGUAUGUGUGCGUUGUGUCACUGUGUGUUAAGAGUGACACAACCUUUUUUUCCGAACUAUUUUUUAUUCUUCUAAACAUUAUGGAGACUAUCCUAUCCCGUAACAAAAAUUAUGUGUCUGUGUGUGCACGCUCAUGAUAGUCAACCUGCAGGAGGCCUCUCUGAAUUGACCCAAGUUUGCUUGGGGUGGGGGGAGAGAUAUAAGUGAACAUGGAAAAUCUGCUGUACUAUCCUUUCCAGUCUCUACUCUACUCUACUCGGCUCUCCAUCAAAGUCUCUACUCUAGAAUCGACUCUAGUUUCUGCUGUGCCCUAUACUCUAGUGCAGGGUCUCUAGUCUCUCUCCUGUCCAUCUGGCCUUCUCCUCACACUCUCCUGAGCUGAGUGUUCUCUGUGCGUGUCCGCCACCAGCUGUGUGAGCCAUGGCCAUUAGCUUUGAGAGGUGUGGAUGUCCAUGCAGAGC